rnacentral:snRNA from 1 species
GUUGAAGGAUAAUCUUCACCA